rnacentral:rRNA from 1 species
UGAGUUUGAUCCUGGCUCAGAGUGAACGCUGGCGGCGUGCUUAACACAUGCAAGUCGAACGAGAACGGAUUUUAGCUUGCUAAAAUUGUCAGCUAAGUGGCGCACGGGUGAGUAAUAUAUAGGUAAUGUGCCCUCUACAAAGGAAUAACAGUUGGAAACGACUGCUAAUGCCUUAUAUGCCUUUAAGACAUAAGUCUGCAAGGGAAAGUUUUUUCGGUAGAGGAUCGGCCUGUACGGUAUCAGUUAGUUGGUGAGGUAAUGGCUCACCAAGACAAUGACGCCUAACUGGUUUGAGAGGAUGAUCAGUCACACUGGAACUGAGACACGGUCCAGACUCCUACGGGAGGCAGCAGUGGGGAAUAUUGCACAAUGGGGGAAACCCUGAUGCAGCAACGCCGCGUGGAGGAUGACACAUUUCGGUGCGUAAACUCCUUUUAUGUGGGAAGAUAAUGACGGUAUCACAUGAAUAAGCUCCGGCUAACUCCGUGCCAGCAGCCGCGGU